CUAUGGCCAUACUACUCUGAAUGCGCCCAAUCCUGUCUGAUCUCAGAAGCUAAGCAAGGUCGGGCCUAGUUAGUACUUGGAUGGGAAACAGACAGAUGGAUGCACCAAGGC
rnacentral:rRNA from 1 species